GCGGAGUUGGUCCGGGAGGUUUUGGGGUGGUGCUCUCGAAGACGUGGAGGCGGUUUAAAUUAUAUCAUGCCGUUAGGAGUGUGGUGGAUGUUUCGUCAAGCCAGUUCCCUCUCAGCAGAAGAUCUUGCCUUUUACUUCCCAAGAGAAGUGCAAGAUCACGUCAAGGACAUGCGCAUCUUCCUGGGUUACUGUUCGACCCUCUGAGCAAAGCAAAGCGGAACUUUCUUUCUGAUGGGGAAAAACAGACAUUACGGAGUAAAAUGGCAAGACCCUCCUAGAAGAAGCCACAUGUUUUAAGGCACAGAAAACUAAAUGACUAAGGAUCAAGGCGGCAUUCAGAAGUGAGAUAAUAUUGGGUGCACCAUGGAUCCAUAAGUCCUAGAAAAUUAUGUGACACUGGGUUAUGAGCUGCAUUAAAGACAUGAGCAUUGGGAAUUUAUGCUGGAAUGUAUUUGAGUUAACUUUGCAGCCACGAAUGGCUUUGAAUUAUAAUAAAUAAUCUUAUGCUUCUCUGGUUCAUGUUUAUCUCCUUUGUUAAUUACAAAUAAUCAUUUUUCAGUUUGGAUGUGCACAGUGGAUUCAUUGCCAUUCUUAUAUUUUUUGUUUUUUAAUGUAAUAUAACUUGAAGAAGAAUUGUAAUAACAUUUGCUUUGGUAGAAGAGGCCCACUUAAAUUCACAGCAUGCCUGAAGUAAUAACAUUGUAAAUGUGGCAGGAAAUAUAAUAAAGAAUAACAAUAAAA